rnacentral:rRNA from 1 species
GACGAACGCUGGCGGCGUGCCUAAUACAUGCAAGUCGUGCGGACCUUGUUGAAAGCUUGCUUUUAAAAGGUUAGCGGCGGACGGGUGAGUAACACGUGGGCAACCUGCCUGUAAGACUGGGAUAACGCCGGGAAACCGGGGCUAAUACCAGAUCGUUUUUUCCUCCGCAUGGAGGAAAAAGGAAAGGCGGCUUCGGCUGCCACUUACAGAUGGGCCCGCGGCGCAUUAGCUAGUUGGCGGGGUAAUGGCCCACCAAGGCAACGAUGCGUAGCCGACCUGAGAGGGUGAUCGGCCACAUUGGGACUGAGACACGGCCCAAACUCCUACGGGAGGCAGCAGUAGGGAAUCUUCCGCAAUGGACGGAAGUCUGACGGAGCAACGCCGCGUGAGUGAAGAAGGCCUUCGGGUCGUAAAACUCUGUUGCCGGGGAAGAACAAGUGCCGUUCGAACAGGGCGGCGCCUUGACGGUACCCGGCCAGAAAGCCACGGCUAACUACGUG